GAUGAACGCUGGCGGCGUGCCUAAUACAUGCAAGUCGAGCGAACAGACGAGGAUCUUGCUCCUCUGACGUUAGCGGCGGACGGGUGAGUAACACGUGGAUAACCUACCUAUAAGACUGGGAUAACUUCGUGAAACCUGAGCUAAUCCCGUAUAAUAUCUUGAACCGCAUGGUUCAAUAGUGAAAUACGGUUUUGCUGUCACUUAUAGAUGGAUCCGCGCCGCAUUAGCUAGUUGGUAAGGUAACGGCUUACCAAGGCAACGAUGCGUAGCCGACCUGAGAGGGUGAUCGGCCACACUGGAACUGAGACACGGUCCAGACUCCUACGGGAGGCAGCAGUAGGGAAUCUUCCGCAAUGGGCGAAAGCCUGACGGAGCAACGCCGCGUGAGUGAUGAAGGUCUUCGGAUCGUAAAACUCUGUUAUUAGGGAAGAACAAAUGUGUAAGUAACUAUGCACGUCUUGACGGUACCUAAUCAGAAAGCCACGGCUAACUACGUG
rnacentral:rRNA from 1 species